rnacentral:rRNA from 1 species
GACGAACGCUGGCGGCGUGCCUAAUACAUGCAAGUAGAACGCUGAAGGAGGAGCUUGCUUCUCUGGAUGAGUUGCGAACGGGUGAGUAACGCGUAGGUAACCUGCCUGGUAGCGGGGGAUAACUAUUGGAAACGAUAGCUAAUACCGCAUAACAGUAGAUAUCGCAUGAUAUCUACUUGAAAGGUGCAAUUGCAUCACUACCAGAUGGACCUGCGUUGUAUUAGCUAGUUGGUGAGGUAACGGCUCACCAAGGCGACGAUACACAGCCGACCUGAGAGGGUGAUCGGCCACACUGGGACUGAGACACGGCCCAGACUCCUACGGGAGGCAGCAGUAGGGAAUCUUCGGCAAUGGACGGAAGUCUGACCGAGCAACGCCGCGUGAGUGAAGAAGGUUUUCGGAUCGUAAAGCUCUGUUGUAAGAGAAGAACGAGUGUGAGAGUGGAAAGUUCACACUGUGACGGUAUCUUACCAGAAAGGGACGGCUAACUACGUG